CUACGGGCUGCUCCAGUAGGGAAUAUUGCACAAUGGGCGAAAGCCUGAUGCAGCAACGCCGCGUGUGCGAAGAAGGCCUUCGGGUCGUAAAGCACUUUUCUGGGAGAUGAGAAAGGACGGUAUCCCAGGAAUAAGUCUCGGCUAACUACGUGCCAGCAGCCGCGGUAAAACGUAGGAGGCGAGCGUUAUCCGGAUUCACUGGGCGUAAAGCGCGUGCAGGCGGUUUGGUAAGUUGGGCGUGAAAGCUCCCGGCUCAACUGGGAGAGGUCGUCCAAAACUACCAGACUAGAGAGCGAUAGAGGAAAAUGGAAUUCCCGGUGUAGUGGUGAAAUGCGUAGAUAUCGGGAGGAACACCAGUGGCGAAGGCGAUUUUCUGGAUCGUUUCUGACGCUCAGACGCGAAAGCUAGGGUAGCAAACGGGAUUAGAUACCCCCGUAGUC
rnacentral:rRNA from 1 species